UGGGUGUGACGGUAUUUCAAAGAAGGUUAUGCGCUCGUCUCUCGGGACCAGUAACGGGACACGUAGGGUUAUCUAAAUGAGUAGACACGUGUCCAUAAUGCCCCUUCGAUAACCCCGGUCGGACGCCGGGGGAUCGGGCUGUUACAAUUGGUAUCAGAGCGGGUUAAGAUCCCUUAGUUCUGUCCUAAGGGAUCAGCAUUUCCGACGUUUUAAAAAAAAAAAAAAAUCGUUUUCGAAAAAAAAAAAAAAAAAAAAAAUUAUUUCGUUAUUACUAAGUGUUUUCGGAUUGUGAAAGAUUAUUUGAAAAUCCCACGAUAUCCAUACUUCUAUUAUGGUUCUGAUUGAAAUUUUAUUGCAGGAUGUUUUCGCUUGACCAUUACGAGUGGAGGAUGCCGCGUAUGCACUACGGACGGAGGAACACCAGGGAGUAUGCCCAAAGGCGUCACUAUGACAUGGAGGGUAGCUUGGUGCUACCCAUGUUUCCGGAUCCUGAAGAGCAGUACAGGGAGUUUCCAUUCAGGUACCCGCACGAGUAGACUGUGAGGCAUAAGGUGUUGAUGCCACAUUUCCAGAGGAUGGCUAUGGAGGAACGUCUACUGCAGGGCAAUGCGAGGUUCCAGCUUGCAACCGAAGAGGGGCCCCCGAGGAAGCGUGGCCGUCCAUGCAAGCCGCAAAGUGCAGUAGGGGGACCCCCAAGGGUGUUCACCGGGAAGUGCCAGUGUGGAGUGCUGAUCAAGAAUGCUCAGGAGGACCGAUCAGUCGCUGGAUACACCGAGGACUUCAUCAACCAAGCCAAGCUGUGAAAACCGAAGAAUGCAGAGACGUGGUGCGUAUGGUAUAAGAACGGGCUUCGUAAGGAACUCCAGGCGCAGUUGAGGGGUGUUUUGGAGCCCCUGGAGUUCGCGCUAGUGAGGCGGAUGGCAGGCUUCGCCAUGGAGGCAGAAGAGAAGAUUGCAGCCGAUGUGGCCGCUCUCUCGAGCAUGGAAGGAGGAAACCCGGGUAGGGACGUCGAUGGUCAUGAGGUGCCGGUCGGGGAACUCGCUAAGGGAAAGCGGGGGCGUCCGCGAAAACCUCUUACAGUGACAUGUGAUUGUGACGUACUGGUCCAGAUGGUUCAGAAGCCACGCAAGGUGAGAGAUUACCUGGAGGAGUUCUUGGAUACAGCCAAGAGGUGCCAACCGAAGCCAGCCGAGGAGUGGUGUCAUCUGUUUAAGGCUGGACUACGUGGAGAUAUUCGUGAAGAGCUCGUUGGAGUUCUGGAGCCUCUGGAAUUUGCAUUGGUGAGAAGGAUGGCCAACCAAGCACUGCACGCGGAGGAGUGGUUGGCGGAAAGUGAGGCGGAGGCCGAGUAUGAUCGCGUCGCAGAGGGCGAUGAAGACCUUGGAUCCGAGACCCGCUGCCCCUCGCCAUGUCAAUGUGGCUAGACGAGAUACUAGGGACGAUUCGUAGGAGUAGGACACGUGUUUCGCUAUUGGUUUUAUUUCAUUUAUUGGUUAUUGGAGUUGGUGUUCUUUCCAUUCGUUACGGCAUUCUGUGUUUUGUGCAGAUGUGCUGGGUUUUCUCUUACAAACUAUUGUAGUCCUACUCCUUUUAUUUAUGACAUUCAUUCGUUGGUUUUAAAGAUUCCAGUAGAGUUAUCAUGCUUUGUAUGCCUCCCUUGAUUGUUGUGUGAAUGUGUGAAUUCAUUUCGGUAACGAACGAUUGGUCUGAAAGAUGUGGGCUUUGGAAUUCGGGGACGAAUUCCGAUUAACGGGGGAGGAUUGUAACGGCCCGGUUCCUGGCCCAUAAAAUUUCCCAAAGAAUAUGGGCUUCUCUACGGCCCAUUUGGCAAAAACCUAGGGCUUCCCUUCCCCUCUCCUUUAAAAAGAGAUGCAGCCUCCCUUUUUGCCUCAUCACAAAUCUGAAGCGAAGCUCUGCAGAGAACUCCCGGAGGCCGAAAACCCUAGCCGUCGAGCUCUCUCCCCUUCUCUCCUGCGCCGCCUCUCUCUCUUCUCUCUCUCUCCCGCGCGUCGCUCUCUCUCUCCUUGCCGUCACCCUCUCUCUCUCCUCGCCGUCGCACGCUCUCUCUCUCUCUCCCUCUCGCCGGCGCCGUGAAAUGGUGGUGGUGACCAGAUCUCAACCUUCUUAAAUCCUUGUUUCCAGAUCCAGAUCCAGAUCUAGACUAAGGUGGAGUGUCUCGAACCCAACUUUCUCUCAUGAUUCUGUAUACUCCUUUAUGUUGGAGUUAGGUUGUUUAGACCCUGUUUGAGAGUUAGGAUGAUAGAACAGGAUAACUGCUAGGAUGAUAGAUGAGUGAAUCAUGAUGCAUAAGAACCUCAUACUGUUAACGGGACUUGAUGAACUGAUCUAUGUUGUGGUUGAUGAGUGAUGCUUGUAUGUUUGGAUGUUUAGUCCCAUGUAUGGUUUGUGAAUAAAGCUAGGGUGCUAGAAAGAAUGAAUGCUAAGAUGAUAGAUGACUACUAAUUGCUAUUGAUAUGGUAAGUGAAACUUGAGUGCAAUGUGUAUUGUGUGUGACACCGAUAACGGGUGGCGUCUAGUGAGUGAGUCCAAGUACAAGUCUAAGUGAAAAGGGAAAGUAAAUGAAAAAUGGGAAGGGAUAAGUGUAAAUGAUAAGGAUGUGAAAGGAUAAGUGAAAGUAUAGAAGAAUAACGUAAAGGUUAAGCAUGGGUGGGAUCAUAUAGAGAGUCUAAGGAAAGUAAGUGGGGUAGUAGUCCACGCUAGGCUACCCAUAGGAGAUGUGGCCAAUCCACAUGAAUAUGGGGUAGUAGUCUAGUUGGGGUUACCCACUGAUGAAAAGGAUGAAAAGAUGAAAAGGAUGAAAAGAGGAAAAGGAUGAAAAGAUGAAAAAGAUGUGCAUUGUAGGGUUUUUAGAUCAUGGUCGGGUAACAGGGAGUUAAAGGUGUCAUAGGAUUGAGUUGGAAUGGGAAGAUGAGUCGGUUGAAGUCUAGGGUUUGACGUGUGUGGCAAUGAGUGAGAUCAUUGUAUUGAUUGAUCACUAGGUUGUUAGAAAUGAAUGGAAGUGAAUGUGGAAAUUACAGAUGACGAUAGGAAAUGAUAAAAAUGCAUUAACUGAUUGUAGUGGCUAGUCAGUCCUAGUUCCCGCAUAGAGUAGUAUAGAGUGUCAUGCGGGCAGGCUGGUCUAGAACCACUUCACUGAGUAACUUGUUGCUCACCCCUCCAUUUCCAUUUUUUCCCUGUGCGCAGGACUGUAAGUAGAAGUAUAUGGAUGUGGGUGUGACGGUUUUUCAAAGAAGGUUAUGCGCUCGUCUCUCGGGACCAGUAACGGGACACGUAGGGUUGUCUAAAUGAGUAGACACGUGUCCAUAACGCCCCUUCGAUAACCCCGGUCGGACGCCGGGGGAUCGGGCUGUUACAAUUGGUAUCAGAGCGGGUUAAGAUCCCUUAGUUCUGUCCUAAGGGAUCAGCAUUUCCGACGUUUUAAAAAAAAAAAAAAUCGUUUUCGAAAAAAAAAAAAAAAAAAUUAUUUCGUUAUUACUAAGUGUUUUCGGAUUGUGAAAGAUUAUUUGAAAAUCCCACGAUAUCCAUACUUCUAUUAUGGUUCUGAUUGAAAUUUUAUUGCAGGAUGUUUUCGCUUGACCAUUACGAGUGGAGGAUGCCGCGUAUGCACUACGGACGGAGGAACACCAGGGAGUAUGCCCAAAGGCGUCACUAUGACAUGGAGGGUAACUUGGUGCUACCCAUGUUUCCGGAUCCUGAAGAGCAGUACAGGGAGUUUCCAUUCAGGUACCCGCACGAGCAGACUGUGAGGCAUAAGGUGUUGAUGCCACAUUUCCAGAGGAUGGCUAUGGAGGAACGUCUACUGCAGGGCAAUGCGAGGUUCCAGCUUGCAACCGAAGAGGGGCCCCCGAGGAAGCGUGGCCGUCCAUGCAAGCCGCCAAGUGCAGUAGGGGGACCCCCAAGGGUGUUCACCGGAAAGUGCCAGUGUGGAGUGCUGAUCAAGAAUGCUCAGGAGGACCGAUCAGUCGCUGGAUACACCGAGGACUUCAUCAACCAAGCCAAGCUGUGAAAACCGAAGAAUGCAGAGACGUGGUGCAUAUGGUAUAAGAACGGGCUUCGUAAGGAACUCCAGGCGCAGUUGAGGGGUGUUUUGGAGCCCCUGGAGUUCGCGCUAGUGAGGCGGAUGGCAGGCUUCGCCAUGGAGGCAGAAGAGAAGAUUGCAGCCGAUGUGGCCGCUCUCUCGAGCAUGGAAGGAGGAAACCCGGGUAAGGACGUCGAUGGUCAUGAGGUGCCGGUCGGGGAACUCGCUAAGGGAAAGCGGGGGCGUCCACGAAAACCUCUUACAGUGACAUGUGAUUGUGACGUACUGGUCCAG
rnacentral:lncRNA from 1 species